GCUGUAACUUUCCUGUUGUCUCCAACCGCGGCUGCACCCUCUAUCACGCACCGUUCACUCUAAAAAGUACUUCUCUUAGGCAAAAACUCUUUCUCUCGAGUCUCGUCGCUAAUCAACGUGAGCUCAGAAAUUGUCAAACGAUCAGACGGUGGUCAGCCAAAUGGAGAACGCCGAUGUUUUCUUAGGAUUGCAGGAUUUUCUAGAGCGCAUGCGCCAGCCUUCUGCUGCUGAUUUCGUCAAAUCCAUCAAAAGUUUCAUAGUUUCGUUCUCGAACAAUGCUCCUGAUCCGGAAAGGGAUAGUGCUGCUGUACAGGCGUUCCUUGCCAACAUGGAAGCUGAUUUUCGAGCUCAUCCGCUUUGGGCUGGAUGCUCCGAGGAGGAGCUGGACAGUGCUGGUGAAGGACUGGAGAAGUAUGUUAUGACAAAGUUAUUUACCCGUGUGUUUGCUUCACUUCCAGAUGAUGUAAAACAUGAUGAGCAACUUUCUGAGAAGAUGGCUCUUAUUCAGCAGUUUGUUCGGCCUGAGAAUUUGGAUAUUAAGCCGACCUUUCAGAAUGAGACAUCUUGGCUGCUUGCACAGAAAGAGUUACAAAAAAUCAAUAUGUACAAGGCUCCAAGAGACAAGCUUGUUUGUAUCCUCAAUUGUUGCAAGGUUAUCAAUAAUUUGUUGCUUAAUGCUUCAAUUGCUUCAAACGAGAAUCCUCCUGGAGCAGAUGAAUUUCUUCCUGUCUUGAUUUAUGUUACCAUAAAGGCAAAUCCUCCACAGCUGCACUCAAAUUUGUUGUAUAUACAACGUUAUAGACGUCAAUCUCGAUUAGUUGCUGAAGCAGCCUAUUUUUUCACAAACAUGCUCUCUGCCGAGUCUUUCAUCUCGAGUAUUGAUGCAAAAGCACUUUCAAUGGAGGAAACUGAGUUUGAGAAGAACAUGGAGUUUGCUCGAGCUCUUCUGUCUGGCCUUUCAACAGAUGUGGAUGGUCUUUCCAGUCAAAUUGACCAAAUUGCUGGACAUGAUCCCGGAGAAUCUACUGAAUCCAGACAUAAAACUCUUAUGGAGGACCACUUAGUACAACCUAAAUCUUUGGAAACAAAACCUUCAAAUAAGGAAGAUCAGUCAUCAAUCACUAAAAUUCCAUCAAUCUCAGAGUUGGAGAAUAGAGGGGCAGCUAUGCUUUUGAAGGAGGAUCAGACGAGCAAAGUUUUUCGGGAUUACCCAUACUUGUUUGCUCAUGCGGGUGACUUGACUAUCAGUGAUGUGGAAGACCUGCUAAAUAACUAUAAGCAACUUGUGUUCAAGUAUGUUAGUCUUUUGAAAGGAUCGGGUGGUGGUUCUGCAACUUUUCCUUCAUCCGGAUCACUAGCUCAAGCCAAUCACCAUGUUGAAACAGUGAAGGAAUCUGCAGAGAAUAGAGUGUUAGAACAGAAUAUUGGGUUGCCAAAAGAUACUGAUACAGUGGAUGAUGGUCCAAAUAGAGUUUCUAAUCAAGAAAAUAUUGAAUCUGAUUUCUCAAAGGAUGAGGUAGUUCCACCCUCAAAGGACAACCAUGAUGACACCUCUGAAUAAUAGCUGAUUGGGAAGAUGUUUUUCUGGAGUAUGUUGCCCUUUCAAAUGCUGCAGUAACCAAGUCACUGGGGCUUUUUUGUUCCCCUUUAUGUGUUGAAUGGAAUGCUGUCACGAGUUCAAAUCAAAAGGUGCUGUCAUAAGACCCUUUUUUAUUUUGAACUUAAAUGAGGGACUAUUUUGCUGUCUUAAGAGAGAAAAACCAAGAAGGGGUGAAGUUAUAAAUGGAAGUUUUCCAGUAACUGCCUAGGUUUGACUCAUCAAAGCCUAGUUCCAGCAUACAUACAUGGCAGGUAUAUCAUUGGAUUGAUGUCUUUAUUCUCUUCAAACUCUUCUGUGUGGAUGGAAUACACCUUGCCCCAUCCCUAAGAUGGAAAUGAUGGGUUAUGUGAAAAAGAGGGUAACGGUAACAGAUAAGCAUGUCUCUCAUUAUGAAGGCAAUCUCUGGCAACGCUACAUGGAGGUAGCUUCCCUUAUUUCCACUUACUGCACCUCUUAUCAUUAUUCAGCUUUUACGCUUUUCUUCUCUACCCUCAUUAUUU